UACGUAGGGUGCAAGCGUUAAUCGGAAUUACUGGGCGUAAAGCGUGCGCAGGCGGUUGUGCAAGACAGAUGUGAAAUCCCCGGGCUCAACCUGGGAAUUGCAUUUGUGACUGCACGGCUAGAGUGUGUCAGAGGGGGGUAGAAUUCCACGUGUAGCAGUGAAAUGCGUAGAGAUGUGGAGGAAUACCGAUGGCGAAGGCAGCCCCCUGGGAUAACACUGUCGCUCAUGCACGAAAGCGUGGGGAGCAAACAGG
rnacentral:rRNA from 1 species